UAUUUGUGUAAGGGCAGGGGUAUAUUUGCACCAUUUUAUAACGGCAAGGGUAUAUGUACAACACUUUUUAAUGGGGUUAUAUCUGUUCUAAGUCGCAAAGUUGAGGGGUAUAUUUGCACCUUUGUCCCUUAAAAAAAAAAAAAUUCCCCAGAAGCAGGGAUCAAAAACAAGAGCAUGAAAACAUGCUAAUUUUGAAAGGUAGCCAUCCUCCUAACUAUGUUGGCAAUAUGAGAUAUGGUAAAUUGUUUUGGGUGCUCAGAUUGAGAAAACAAGAGCAAAAUUUACUUACAAAGUGUACUUCUCCGCGCUUCACGCAAUUUUUGGAAAAAAUAAAUAUUGAGAUAAAAUCUCAGCAUGUAAACAUUGUUACAUUUGUCGAACAAAAAGAACAACAAAUACUAUAAAACGUCCAUUGCGCGCUAUGCUCCUAGAUAGUUCAAGCGAUGAAUCAAAAAGAACUACUCCACCCAUGACCAAGAACUUAUUACAAUGAUUUUGUAUUUAGUGAUAUGGCAUCACUACUUGAUCGGUGACCCAUGAGAGUUUUAUACAUAUCACAACAGUUUACUACUGAAUCAAAAAUGAAGAUUUGAGUUGUUUAAACAUUCUCAAUGUUACUAUCUCUCAUCAUCGGGGAAGGAAUAGGUUGUAGAUUAUGCGUUGAGUGGGAAGCCUACAGAUGAUUUUGGUUGAGUGUUACACCAAUUGUGCGACCAAUAGCGAUUAAUGUUCAGACUUUAAGAUACUGACAUGAAAAAAAAAUGGCAUGAUGAUCUGAGGAAAUGAGGCCUUGAACAAGCUCGCGGUUAAAAAGUUGAAUACAUUCAAGGUGCAUGAAUUGAAGUUGUAUCGAGGUAUCUAGGUUAUAAGGUGAUGUUACUCGGUAUAGAAUUGACUUGAAUUGACCUAGUUACAACUAACUAAAGUCACCCCUAUUUAUACUUCUCUAGGGAUGGUUUUAGAUACACAAGAAAAUUUUAGUUAACCUCCUAAAUAUCUGACAAGAAUUUAGAACUUCUAGGCAUAUCUUAAAGAUAAGUUUCCAAGAUAUUAAAUUCCCUAGAUGAUCACCCAAGUGUGGGGAAUUGCCUCCAAAUAUCACUUUUGUUUCUUUUAUGACAGCAAACUAGCAAAGUCACCCAAGUAUCACUAUUUUCCUCAAAAUAUAUUAAACACCUCAAAAGUCUCAUUCUCUCCUUUUUGGCAUGCCAUGUCAUUAAAGUUUUUU